UAAGUCAGAUGUGAAAGCCCGGGGCUCAACCUCGGAACCGCAUUUGAAACUGGCAGGCUAGAGUCUGUAGAGGGGGGUAGAAUUUCAGGUGUAGCGGUGAAAUGCGUAGAGAUCUGAAGGAAUACCAGUGGCGAAGGCGGCCCCCUGGACAAAGACUGACGCUCAGAUGCGAAAGCGUGGGUAGCAAACAGGAUUAGAUACCCUGGUAGUCCACGCCGUAAACGCUGUCUACUUGGAGGUUGAGGUUUAAGACUUUGGCUUUCGGCGCUAACGCAUUAAGUAGACCGCCUGGGGAGUACGGCCGCAAGGUUAAAACUCAAAUGAAUUGACGGGGGCCCGCACAAGCGGUGGAGCAUGUGGUUUAAUUCGAUGCAACGCGAAGAACCUUACCUACUCUUGACAUCCAGAGAAUCUUCCAGAGAUGGAGGGGUGCCUUCGGGAGCUCUGAGACAGGUGCUGCAUGGCUGUCGUCAGCUCGUGUUGUGAAAUGUUGGGUUAAGUCCCGCAACGAGCGCAACCCUUAUCCUUGUUUGCCAGCACGUAAUGGUGGGAACUCCAGGGAGACUGCCGGUGAUAAACCGGAGGAAGGUGGGGACGACGUCAAGUCAUCAUGGCCCUUACGAGUAGGGCUACACACGUGCUACAAUGGCAGAUACAGAGGGCAGCGAAGCUGCGAAGUGGAGCGAAUCCCUUAAAGUCUGUCGUAGUCCGGAUUGGAGUCUGCAACUCGACUCCAUGAAGUCGGAAUCGCUAGUAAUCGUGGAUCAGAAUGCCACGGUGAAUACGUUCCCGGGCCUUGUACACACCGCCCGUCACACCAUGGGAGUGGGCUGCACCAGAAGUAGAUAGCUUAACCUUCGGGAGGGCGUUUACCACGGUGUGGUUCAUGA
rnacentral:rRNA from 1 species